UACGAAGGGUGCAAGCGUUACUCGGAAUUACUGGGCGUAAAGCGUGCGUAGGCGGUUUGUUAAGUCUGUCGUGAAAGCCCUGGGCUCAACCUGGGAAUUGCGAUGGAUACUGGCAAGCUAGAGUACGGUAGAGGAUGGUGGAAUUCCCGGUGUAGCGGUGAAAUGCGUAGAUAUCAGGAGGAACACCUGCGGUGUAGACGGCUUUCUGGACCAUCACUGACGCUGAGACACGAAAGCGUGGGGAGCAAACAGG
rnacentral:rRNA from 1 species